CAGGUAGGAUUGACAGAUUAAGAGCUCUUUCUUGAUUUUGUGGGUAGUGGGCAUGGCCGCUCUUGGUUCGAGUAGUGAUUUGUCUGGUUAAUUCUGAUAUCGGACGAGGCUCUAGCCUACUAAAUAGACGCUCGGAUCAUUCCUAGUCCGGCGUUUCUUCUUAGAGGGACUGGCGGCGUUCAGCCGCACGAGGUUGAGCAAUAGCAGGUCUGUAAUGCCCUUAGAUGUCCUGGGCCACACGCGUGAUACAUUGAAGGAAUCAGCGUGUGCUUUCCCUGUCCGACAGGACUGGGUAACCCGUUGAACCUCCUUCGUGCNNNNNNNNGGGGAUUGAAAUUGUCCCCCUUGAACGAGGAACGCCUAGUAAGUGCGAGUCAUCAUCUCGCGUUGAUUAGGUCCCUGGCCCUUGUCCACACCGCCCGUCGCUAUUACCGAUUGAAUGUCUUAGUGAGGACUUCGGAUUGGCUGUCGAUUUGGCUUUAGGGUCGAGCCGACGUGCCGAAAAGAUGUCCGAACUUGGUCAUUUAGAGGAAAUA
rnacentral:rRNA from 1 species